rnacentral:rRNA from 1 species
AGGUUAAUAUUCCUGUACUUGGUGUUACUGCGAAGGGGGGACGGAGAAGGCUAUGUUGGCCGGGCGACGGUUGUCCCGGUUUAAGCGUGUAGGCUGGUUUUCCAGGCAAAUCCGGAAAAUCAAGGCUGAGGCGUGAUGACGAGGCACUACGGUGCUGAAGCAACAAAUGCCCUGCUUCCAGGAAAAGCCUCUAAGCAUCAGGUAACAUCAAAUCGUACCCCAAACCGACACAGGUGGUCAGGUAGAGAAUACCAAGGCGCUUGAGAGAACUCGGGUGAAGGAACUAGGCAAAAUGGUGCCGUAACUUCGGGAGAAGGCACGCUGAUAUGUAGGUGAAGCGACUUGCUCGUGGAGCUGAAAUCAGUCGAAGAUACCAGCUGGCUGCAACUGUUUAUUAAAAACACAGCACUGUGCAAACACGAAAGUGGACGUAUACGGUGUGACGCCUGCCCGGUGCCGGAAGGUUAAUUGAUGGGGUUAGCGCAAGCGAAGCUCUUGAUCGAAGCCCCGGUAAACGGCGGCCGUAACUAUAACGGUCCUAAGGUAGCGAAAUUCCUUGUCGGGUAAGUUCCGACCUGCACGAAUGGCGUAAUGAUGGCCAGGCUGUCUCCACCCGAGACUCAGUGAAAUUGAACUCGCUGUGAAGAUGCAGUGUACCCGCGGCAAGACGGAAAGACCCCGUGAACCUUUACUAUAGCUUGACACUGAACAUUGAGCCUUGAUGUGUAGGAUAGGUGGGAGGCUUAGAAGUGUGGACGCCAGUCUGCAUGGAGCCGACCUUGAAAUACCACCCUUUAAUGUUUGAUGUUCUAACGUUGACCCGUAAUCCGGGUUGCGGACAGUGUCUGGUGGGUAGUUUGACUGGGGCGGUCUCCUCCUAAAGAGUAACGGAGGAGCACGAAGGUUGGCUAAUCCUGGUCGGACAUCAGGAGGUUAGUGCAAUGGCAUAAGCCAGCUUGACUGCGAGCGUGACGGCGCGAGCAGGUGCGAAAGCAGGUCAUAGUGAUCCGGUGGUUCUGAAUGGAAGGGCCAUCGCUCAACGGAUAAAAGGUACUCCGGGGAUAACAGGCUGAUACCGCCCAAGAGUUCAUAUCGACGGCGGUGUUUGGCACCUCGAUGUCGGCUCAUCACAUCCUGGGGCUGAAGUAGGUCCCAAGGGUAUGGCUGUUCGCCAUUUAAAGUGGUACGCGAGCUGGGUUUAGAACGUCGUGAGACAGUUCGGUCCCUAUCUGCCGUGGGCGCUGGAGAACUGAGGGGGGCUGCUCCUAGUACGAGAGGACCGGAGUGGACGCAUCACUGGUGUUCGGGUUGUCAUGCCAAUGGCACUGCCCGGUAGCUAAAUGCGGAAGAGAUAAGUGCUGAAAGCAUCUAAGCACGAAACUUGCCCCGAGAUGAGUUCUCCCUGACCCUUUAAGGGUCCUGAAGGAACGUUGAAGACGACGACGUUGAUAGGCCGGGUGUGUAAGCGCAGCGAUGCGUUGAGCUAACCGGUACUAAUGAACCGUGAGGCUUAACCUUACAACGCCGAAG